UUCCGCUCCUCUGCGCUCCCUUCCGUCCCUCCUCCCGCUGCCCCCCUCCAUAGGUCCCAAUGUAGUCGCCCGUAGCGACGGCCUCCACGCUAGGCCGGUCCUGCGCGCCCGAGCCCGUGCCCUCCUUGUCCUCAUGUCCAGGUCCCCCACUUCAAACCCAGUGCGACCCUCUUGUCAGUGCCCGGAUCAUGCGCACACUAGGCCCCGGAGAAGCCGCCCAGCACCGCCCAUUCUUUGGCCCAGUGCUUCGUCUCUCCUGCCUCAGUUUCCCCAUCUGUAACGGCGUGAUCGUGGCGCCCCAGAUCAGGGCCUGGGGCUGGGAAGGCUCAGGUGGUCCAUGCGGGGUCGGUUCCCCACCAAGCGGGAAGACCGGAAAGGGUCGCGAUGCUGUCCCCAAGGCUGGCUGUGCCCUCCACCGGGCGACGUCAGCUUCCUCUUUGGCGCUCUGAAGAUUGUAUUUCCAUCUGGAUCGUGCGAAUGACAGUGUGCGGAGGGCCUGCUGGCUCUGGGCAGGUGCUCAGAAAAAUCACUGUUUUUAUUGUUGGGAAGAGUUCUCAUGAGCAAGCCCCACCUUGGGCCACCCUGAGCAGGUGACACUCCAGUCCAGUCAACUGGUGACUGCAGCAGCCCUUCAGGUGAGGCAGGGGUGAUCAGAUGCACAUGACUCAUGGGAAACAGGGUCAGAAAGGUAGAGCACACCCAAGGCCACAGAGAAUGAAUGUGUCAGAGCCAGGAGAGCGUCCAGCCCCCUAAGCCCAGUUAGCACUCUGCUGCAGAGGAUCUGGGCAACCAGAGGCACAAAGGUGAGACUUUGUAUCCACUUGGGUCAGGGUGAAUCAGCCUUCAGCACAGCAGGUCCAGGGGCCACCCUCUUGUUUGAUAGAUGAGGAACUGAAGCCCAGAGAGGGUGAGGCUGCCAGGGACAGCACCGCCUGACUGAGUCAGGAUCUAUAGUCCACUUCUGGUCUAAAUGUAGAUUGAAGCUGAGUGGUGGCUCAAGCCUAUAAUCCUAGCUACUUGGGAGGCUGA
rnacentral:lncRNA from 1 species